GUAAGGAAUAUUGGUCAAUGGACGAAAGUCUGAACCAGCCAUGCCGCGUGGAGGAUGAAGGUCCUCUGGAUUGUAAACUUCUUUUAUAUGGGACGAAAAUGGGGCUUUCUAGCUCAACUGACGGUACCAUAUGAAUAAGCACCGGCUAACUCCGUGCCAGCAGCCGCGGUAAUACGGAGGGUGCAAGCGUUAUCCGGAUUCACUGGGUUUAAAGGGUUCGUAGGUGGAGUGGUAAGUCAGAGGUGAAAUCUCCGGGCUCAACUCGGAAACUGCCUUUGAUACUAUUUACCUUGAAUGCCCUGGAGGUAAGCGGAAUAUGUCAUGUAGCGGUGAAAUGCUUAGAUAUGACAUAGAACACCAAUUGCGAAGGCAGCUUACUACGGGGUGAUUGACACUGAGGCACGAAAGCGUGGGGAGCAAACAGGAUUAGAAACCCGUGUAGUCC
rnacentral:rRNA from 1 species